UCCCUGAUUGGGAGGAGUGGAAGAAGUAGAAGCCAUGAUCAGUGAUAACAGAAGGAUCUUGUGCAGCUGAGUUUGGAGAAGGUAGAGAAAGCAAAAUACAAGAGAUGAAUAUUUGGGUAAACUAGUCUGAUGCAAGAAAUUUAUGAACAAAUGAAGAGCUUUUAGUCAACAUCAGAUUUGCCUUCCAGGAAGGACCGUAUAGCUCCAUUUGGUCCACACAAUUAAAUGCAAAACAGUAGAGUGGGUCUAAUAAUUGAUUGGGAUUCAAUUCUAAACUUGGCGUGUGGGAUUGAAGCAUUGCAGCUUUAACAAAAGCUUUUCCUUUACUUUCAGCUCUUCCACUGUGCUUCUUCCCACCAAUGUGG
rnacentral:misc_RNA from 1 species